CAUAAUAUCGUAGUGUCUUUAGGUUCCCACCCUCAAGUCGGAUCAGCUGUUGGUCACUAAUUGACCGUGCGCCUGACAGCUGCCCCAUGUACCGUAUCUCCCAGAAGUACUACCGAUUUAUUGGCACCGAGACUCCAAAAUCCCGAAGGACAUCAACGACACGUACUUUCGUUUUAUUAUUAUUCGCGAGAACAACUUUCGGACCGCCGAACAGGAUAUUUUUGCUGAGUAUACGGCGGUCGCAACCGGGGUGUAUACACCUCUGAGACUCCACGGACUCUAAACGGUGUUGUGGUCAAUCUUAGAGAAAAUUUUCUCUGGUCAAUCUGUUCUCGCCAGAACGAGCGGUGGUGGAGCACGAUCACCAGCGAAAGUAGGCCGUACAGUAAGCAGUGGCAGCGGCAGCAAUAGCUCAACAACAAGCCCACCAGAAACAACAUCAACAGCUUUAGGAAAAUGAUCAUCUGGAUAAGCGGGAUUUACCGAAUCCAGAAGCAGCAGCCGUUCCCUAUCAACAAAAACCAGAAGCGGCCAUCAAGAGAGCGGAAGAUAUCCUGGAAAAGCGCUUCGGCCCAGACGGAAAGUUCUUUGCAGUCUUGGCAAGCAAUGCAUUUCUAAUGCUCCGGGCACCGGGGGACCUGAUUGACAAAUUCCAAUGCUGAUACCGGGAGUUGAUGAAGAUGAAGAGCACCUGAGCUGGAUUUGCCUUGUGCAUUCGAGAAUACCAAUCGGAAGCGGGUUGUAUUAUUUCGCCGGACGAUACAUCGGCAUUCUUACAGGCUGCAGGACGACGAACAGCAUGUAAAAGAGCAAAGAUCCCUCCUCCGGAUCCUGCCAAUCCGCCAAGAAAAGAAAAUGUCGUCUGUAGAUUUGAUGGUACAUCGGGCAGUACCAUUGGUCAAUCCGGAUCUUUGCUAUUCAAGGAAUUUGACACCUAAGCGACCGACUUGAUGAUAUAAUCAAGUGAAUAUUGAAACAUUUUUUUACUCCCGUCAACCAUGGUUUGCCAACAUCGCUAUCUGGAGGAUCCUUGCCGAUGUGACGCCAACGCCUUGUUAUAGCAAAUGCUUAUUUUGCAUACAUAUAAAUAAAAAUACUGAGGUGGGUGGGGUGUUUCUGUGGUCUCUAUAUUAUCCAUCCGAAAAUUCGCCAGGAUUCUGAACGAGACAACCAAUACAUCUAAGUAAAUCUACAAUAGUGGUCUGAAUUUGUUGUUCAGGAAUUUCACCAUGUCCUCCCAGAUUGCAAGGUGACGCAAAUCGCUUGAAACUUAUAGAAUUAUUCCUGUGGUCCUUAAGAUAUUCUUCCAUUUGAUCAGAAUUUUUCACUCAGAAGGUUCAUCAUGUCUUCCCAGGUUGCGAGGUGACGCGAUACGCUUAGAACUUAUUGAGUUACUUCAGUAAUUAUGCGAUAUUCUUCCAUUUGAUCUAAAUGCAUUUCCAAUGCUCACGUUUUCCUAAAAUGCAUGGUGAUGCAGGACAUCAUGCUCCACUCGAAGAAGCUUUUUUCUAAUUUGGCUCACCACGUCCUCCUAAAA